AGUCAAUAUACAUCGGAUGGGAACCCAUCAUAUUAAUUUGAGAAUCAGUUUCCAGCACUCUUCACACAGAACCACAGGAUGUCUACAGCAAACUCUUCAGAGCUGGAUCUGGAGCUGGGAGACUUGCUACAGGAGUUUAAUGAUGUUGUGAAGGAGCUGAGCACACCUCACGCCUCUGAACAUGUGCUGGGAGAUGUGAAGAGACACACAGCACUGACUGAUGGAGACGACUCAGACUACUGCAGCGAAGCUUCGCUGGUAAACAGCUUGAAUGCCAGUCAAGAGGAGCUCAACAUCCCAAGCAUGACUACAGCCCCAAAAGCCAGGCUCGGGGACACCGGCGACCUACAGAGCUUCAUUGAAAACCUGGAUAGAGAGCUUGCAGAGAUGUGAGAUGACAGGACACACGUGAUCAGACAGACCGCUGAGCACCUGAAGAGCUGGCAUUUAGCAAAGCGCAAUCUCUGCUUCCACAUAGAAAUUAGGCUGAAGAAAAGCAGCUUGAAGGCUUCAUUUUUUCCCCCUUCACUAAGGAACGAGAGCUCACGGUGACUUUUAAUUGGUCAAGACUGUUUGGAAGAAUUACCAAGUUUCUCAGAAGAUGUUUUAUUUUAAGAAAUACUUACUAAAUUUAUAUGAAAAGCACAAUGCCUUGUAAGUUAUGACGAGUAAUGUUAAUACCUAUUUUUCACUUUUUUUUAAAUGAAGAUUGUAAAAAUAUCAGUGUU
rnacentral:lncRNA from 1 species